ACGGAGGGUGCAAGCGUUGCUCGGAAUUAUUGGGCGUAAAGGGUAGGUAGGUGGUCUCGUUUGUCAGGGGUGAAAGCCUUGGGCUUAACUCAAGAAGUGCCCCUGAAACGGCGAGACUCGAGUACUGGAGAGGCUAGUGGAAUUCCCGGUGUAGCGGUGAAAUGCGUAGAGAUCGGGAGGAACACCAGAGGCGAAGGCGGCUAGCUGGACAGUCACUGACACUCAACUACGAAAGCGUGGGGAGCAAACAGGA
rnacentral:rRNA from 1 species